UGAAAAACUUCCGGCGGGAACCGGAAGAUGCGGUCACACACAGAAUCCCGGGCCUUCUGACUCGCCGGGCGGGAAGAUGUCAUCAUUGCCAAGAAGAGCAAAAGUCAAGGUCCAGACUGUGGUAUCCAAAGAUGAAUUCUCUUCCUUCUCAGAGUUAUCAUCUGCCUCUGAAGAAGAUGACAAGGAAGAUAGUGCCUGGGAGCCCCAAAAGAAAGUCCCCAGAAGUCGUAAGCAGCCUGUUCCCAAGGAAUGCAAACCAAAGAGGGUGCGACGGGUGAAGAAGACCACCCUACAGAUGAGUGAUGGCUCGGAAGGUGUGGCUGUUAAGGAGGAGCUGAAUAACUCUGUGGCUAUUGCUGAUGUUGAUUUGGAAGACAGAAAAAAUAAGUUGGAUACUGUGCAGACUCUGAAAACAGCAAAGACAAAACGGAAAAAUUCAGCUCAGUCACCUUCAGGUCAGAGGACCAAAAAGCUAAAAGUUGAUGAAGAAGGCAACAGGGCCAGCAGCAUAGAGAGUGGGCACGAGGCUGCAGAGAUGCCAUCCACAAGCACCAUGUGGGAAGGUGCGUGCAAGAAGGAAGAGAAUGGAGAUGACUUUACAUUUGGUCAGUCCCCUUUAAAGAAAAUGAAGACGGAAACAUGUCCCCAAGGGCAGCCUGUGAGGCUUCCAGCAAAUGCCACCAAUAUUAAGGAGGAGGUGGAAAUGAACUGGGACAUAGUACAGGUUUUAUCUGAGAGAACUAAUAUUGAACUUUGGGUUUGUGCCAACAUUAUUCGUCUCUUUAAUGACGAUAACACAAUUCCCUUCAUUAUACGGUAUCGAAAAGAACUCAUUAAUAACCUUGAUGCUGAUUCCUUGAGAGAAGUUCGACAAACCCUAGAGGAGCUCCGGGCUGUUGCAAAGAAGGUUCAUAGUACAAUCCAAAAAAUUAAGAAGGAGGGGAAGAUGUCUGAGUGCUUGUUAAAAGCCUUACUGAACUGUAAAACUUUUGAAGAACUAGAACAUGUGUCAGCUCCAUAUAAAACUGGGAGCAAAGGCACUAAAGCCCAGAGAGCAAAGCAGUUGGGAUUAGAAGGAGCAGCCAGGACACUGCUUGAGAAUCCAGGGCAGCUCAAUCUGCUAUCUUACAUUAAACCCAACGUAAAAGGACUUUCAGCACUCCAGGAUAUUGAAACGGGAGUGCAGCAUAUUUUAGCAGACAUGAUUGCUAAAGACAAAGACACGCUUGACUUCAUUCGGAAAUUGUGCCAAAAUAGGUAUAUUUGCAUCCAGUCAUCUCUGGCGAAGGUGUCCUCAAAAAAAGUAAAUGAGAAAGACGUUGAUAAGUUUCUGCUCUACCAGAAUUUUUCAUGCAACAUAAGAAACAUCCAACAUCAUCAGAUCCUGGCAAUUAACCGUGGGGAAAAUUUGAAGAUACUGACUGUUAAGGUCAACAUUUCUGAUGGCGUGAAGAAUGAAUUCUGUAGGUGGUGCAUCCAAAACAGGUGGAGACCACGUGGCUUUGCAAGGCCGGAGUUAAUGAAGAUCUUACACAGUUCACUGGAUGAUUCUUUUAAACGCCUUAUUUAUCCUCUCCUCUGUAGAGAGUUCAGGGCCAAACUAACAUCAGAUGCAGAGAAGGAAUCAGUAAUGAUGUUUGGACGGAACCUUCGUCAGCUCCUUUUAACAAGUCCUGUUCCAGGGCGCACCCUGAUGGGGGUGGAUCCUGGUUACAAACAUGGUUGCAAAUUGGCUAUAAUUUCUCCUACCAGUCAGAUACUUCAUACUGAUGUGGUUUACUUGCAUUGUGGACAAGGCUUCCGAGAGGCAGAGAAAAUAAAGAGGCUUUUGCUGAAUUUCAACUGCAGCACGGUGGUGAUUGGAAAUGGAACUGCCUGCCGGGAAACAGAAGCUUACUUUGCUGACCUGAUAAUGAAAAAUUACUUUGCACCACUGGAUGUUGUUUACUGUAUCGUCAGUGAAGCAGGGGCAUCAAUCUACAGUGUCAGCCCUGAAGCUAACAAAGAGAUGCCGGGGCUGGACCCUAAUUUGAGAAGUGCAGUUUCCAUAGCAAGGCGUGUACAAGACCCAUUAGCUGAGCUGGUGAAAAUUGAGCCGAAGCACAUUGGAGUCGGAAUGUACCAGCAUGACGUAUCUCAGACUUUGCUCAAGGCAACACUGGACAGUGUUGUAGAAGAAUGUGUCAGCUUUGUGGGAGUGGAUAUUAACAUCUGUUCUGAAGUUUUGUUGAGGCAUAUUGCAGGACUCAAUGCCAACCGAGCCAAAAAUAUUAUUGAAUGGCGAGAGAAAAAUGGACCCUUUGUCAACCGAGAACAGCUAAAAAAAGUGAAAGGGCUGGGUCCAAAAUCUUUCCAACAGUGUGCUGGCUUCAUCAGAAUCAACCAGGAUUAUAUUAGAACAUUUUGCAGUAGUCAGCAAACCGAAUCUGCGGGCCAAAUUCAGGGAGUUGCUGUGACAUCUUCAGCAGGUGUUGAGGUCACAAACGAGAAGCAGGGCAAGAAGAAGAGCAAAACUGCAGUAAAUGUUGUAUUGAAGCCAAAUCCUUUGGACCAAACUUGUAUUCACCCGGAAUCAUAUGACAUAGCGAUGAGGUUUUUGUCAUUCAUCAGAGGGACGCUGUAUGAGAUUGGAAAGCCUGAAAUGGAGCAAAAAAUAAAUUCGUUCCUUGAAAAGGAGGGCAUAGAGAAAAUUGCAGAAAGUUUGCAAACAACAGUUCACACCUUACAGGUCAUCAUAGAUGGUCUCAGCCAGCCUGAGAGCUUUGACUUUCGAACAGAUUUUGAUAAACCUGAUUUCAAGAGAAGCAUAGUCUGCUUGGAAGACCUGCAGGUUGGGACAGUUCUCACAGGCAAAGUCGAGAAUGCCACUCUGUUCGGAAUUUUUGUAGAUAUAGGAGUGGGGAGAUCAGGGCUAAUUCCCAUACGAAAUGUAACAGAAGCAAAACUUUCUAAAACAAAGAAGAGAAGGAGUCUUGGACUGGGCCCUGGAGAAAGAGUGGAAGUCCAAGUACUCAACAUUGACAUCCCCCGAUCUAGGAUUACUCUGGACCUCAUUCGGGUGUUCCAGGCGCACAGUAACUGGGGAGGUUCUCCCCAAGAGAGCAACUCGCCUUUGGAUGUCUUUCUCCAGUCCCAGCCAUGGUUCUUUGAUCACUUGAUGACAUUUGCCCACCUGCUUCCCAGGUUUGAAUCUCUUGGCCAUGAAGAAGAGAGUGGCACCAGUGAAAGUCAGACCUAAGUUGAUUACAUAAUGUCCCCUCAAAAUCUGCAUCUACUUGGAAUAUCAGAAUGUGACCUGACUUGGAAAUAAGGUCUCUAAAGAUACAAGUGGCUACAAAUGAAAUCAUCCUGGAUUUAGGGCACCCUCAAUCCAAUAAUUGGUGUCCUUAUAAGACUGUAUUACAACCCUGUAAUAUACAGAGAACUGGUAGUCAUGCAGAUGGUUCUUGUCCGUGUGAAUGGAGAAAGGAAGAAGAGACCCAGUGAGGCAAGAGUGAGGAGAAGCAAGCUGCCAUGUUGUGGAGAGGCUUGUGUGUCAAGAAACUGCAGUUUCCAGCUGAUAGCGAGAAACUGAGGACUGCCAAUAGCCACAUGAGUGAUCUCAGAAGCAUCCUCUAGACAAGCCUUGAGAUGAUGGCAAGCUGUGGCUGACAGUUUGACUGCCAUUUUAUGAGAGAGAGUGAUUCAGAUGGAUUCCAGCCAUGCUGCUCCUGGAUGCCUGACCCACAGAAACUGCAAUAACAAAUUGUGAUGGUCAUCUGUGGGCAGGAAAGAUGUUUUCUUCAGUGACCUUGAAAUACUGGUGGCGUGGACUGGAUGGUUGUGACCUAGCUCCUUCCUCACCUGCCAACCCUCUCUCAAGAUAGAUCCUGGGAGGCAGGAGUAGGACUCCAGCAGAGGGGAGGUGCAACGAUGUCCAGGUGGGUCUGUGCGGGCAUGCCUGGAGGAGGCUUCUCUAGGACAGGACAUGGCUCACCUGGGCAGUCCAGGCUGCUGCAAGAACAAACACCCAGUGAUGGGGCAGAGGGAGGAAAGAAAGGAUCCUGCCCCUGAUCCAGCAGCUGAAAGUGAGAAGCUGAUAAUAGCAAGGAGGCCUGAAAUGCACCCCAUGGUAAUCAAGCCAUCUGGCACAAGCCCACUGGGAAAGGAGGCCACAUCCGGCCUGCCAGGCCUCACUGUGCAAAGGUGGGGUGCAGCGGUCAGUGUCAGCAGCACGACGCCAGCCACCCUCUGGAGCUGGAGGCUGGGGGUGGGGGGAGCUCUCAUCUCAAGGCCAUGGGGCUGAGGCCAGUUCUCACCUGCCAGAGGUAGGGAAGGAGCGAACAGUCAAGGCCAUCUGUUCCUGGCCCCAGGUCUGCACCAGGCUCGACUUUCACUGCGAGGAAGCCUUUGGAAACUGCAUCCUGGACCUUUUAUUAGCUUGGAUGGUGGUUUUUAAGAGCUUUAUGGAUGCCUGAACAGCCCUUACCCUGCCCUCACUAAGUACCAGGCACUGUUCUGAGAGCUUUUGUCUAAAUCACCUCACUGAGCGCUCAUAAGAACUCUACAAGAUAGGAGUUAUCCCCAUUUUAUAGAGUGGGAGGGGAGGCCUGGAAAGGGGGCAGAGCUAGGAAUCGACUACAUAACUCUGCUCCUGAGCCCCGCCCUUCGCUGCUGGGCCACACCGCCCUAUUGUCCCAGAGCACAGGCUGGAGUUUAGAUUCAGUCUUACUUGUCCACUGGGAAACCAAACGUCCUAGAGAUGUGGCCUGUGGGUGAUUAGCCAGGACAAGUGAUAGCAUGCCAUCAGAAUUGACCAGCCCCUAACUUAGAGCAGGCAGGGGGCUCAUCCAACCCCACCCCCUCCUAAGGUUAGUGCACCCAGAUCUGGAGAGCUUUCCUGGGGUCACGCAGCUAGAAAAUGAUGACACAAGAAUCCAAAGUCUUCUGACAGUCCCUUCAAUUGCUAUGCAUUGUCUUUCUUUCUCUAGGAAAGUAAGACUAUGCCCCUGCCCUGGCACCCCAGUCCCAUCCACCUAAGCCCCCACAGUGGACAGCAGGAGUGUUGGUAUCAGGUGGCAGUUAUCUGCUGGAGGUUUCCUGAGGGUCAGGGAGCCAUGUUGACCUGAUCACUAGUUCCUGCCCGCCUAGGGAGCCCCCUCCAUCUGGUAGAGAGGAUUGAGAACUGGAGAUGCUUCAUCCCAUGCCUCCUGGCUCUCCUCCCUCUUGGCUGAAGGCUGGUUAGUGUCUCUGGAGGCUGUUUGACCUGUGGGCCUUGCCCAGAGUUCAGCUUGGGUUGCAUUGGGAUCAAGCCCCCAGCCAGGUCCCAGAGAGGAGCCUCAGGCCUGAAACCGAGAUUGCUGGUUGGACAGGGCUUCACCAGGUAAUCAUUGCUGGUAAUGGCAAAGGCUUUGAAUGAAGUGUCCAAACUGGUUUAACACCCUUUUGGUAUUUCUCUUAUUUUGUGGAUUUAUAUCAUUCACCUGCUAAGGACCUCCCUUGCCUAAUCUCUAUUCCCUGAGGAAUGAAAGAGUAGAUAAAGUUUUUUGUUUGUUUUGUUUGUUUGAGGGCUGUACUCCUGUCUCCUGGGAUAGCCUCAGCUGGUCCAGAUGAGGGGGGUCUAGCUGAGGGGGAGUCCAGCCCCAGGAGGGCCAGCUCUAGGGCUGCUUGGAUCAAGGCCCAAAGUACCUUCAAUGUUCCUCCUAAAUCUGUGGUUCCCAGAAUAUUAUUUAGCACCUACUGGCAUUCCACCAACAGAAGAUAUAAGAGAAGAGAUGUCCUUCGAUUCCUAAUCAAACAACAUCAAUGAAGCAAUUAGUAUAUAGAAGGUGCUAGGCAGGAAGCAUUCUAGUUUCCUGUUGUGGAGGAGUUUACAGUCUGAAAGAAAGAAGUGUAGAGUCUGUCUGCGGGUGGCACCAACAUAGAGGAACAAGAGGUGAACAUCAGGUGCUUGUGACUUCUUGCAAGACCCUGGUUCAAGCCGUGCCUGAAGACGGACCUACCCUCUGGACUUUUCAACUGUAUGCUCCUGAAGCCUCCUGCAGACAGAAUGAAGCUGAACUUGGAUGCAUCCUCUGGGUGAGGCAGCAUAAAAUCGGUCCGGAUGAAAUCCCUCCUUGUUGAUGAAGAUAUCUGCCGCAUCGCCACAGGAUGAUUUGGAAGCCCUUGCUUGUUCCAUCGGCUUCUCCAACCCAGCUCUUAGCAGAAUAGUAAAACAGACGCGUUAUUGGCAACUCCGUCGUGCUAAGGAGAGGCCGUCUCCAGCAUGACAUCAGCCAAAUCUAUUUCACCAGAGAGCCUUGCACUGCCUGAUUUCCAACAUGUAGAAGAUGCACACGGGGGGCAGGGGAAGAAGGCAUAAAUGAGACACAGACUGGGGACUUUUUGAUGUGUUUAGCACAUUUUUGUGACUUCCUUUAACACCGCAGACCUUGGUUCUCCCACCAUUAGGCGAACAAAAGACAAGCCGGGAGGGGGCAGGGAAGGUGACCCGUUCAGGAACAAGUUCUGCUCAACCUAUUUAGCAUUUUUAAUUGAACCGCUGGAAAGGGGAGGCAAAAAUGGGAAGACGAGAGUGAACACCACAGCCGAGUAACUUCAGAUAUAAAAAGUCCCUUCAUUAAAUCUGUUGUUUUUUAAUUCAUAAUUGCACUUAAAUAAAGAGGGACCUAUGGGCAGCUGUUUCUAAUAUCGAGUCCCCACCGCACAUGAAAGACGCAUUUAUUCCUGCAGCAGGCCUCCCUACCCUUGGGUGUUAUCAGCUGAACAUGUUUUGAACCUACCUAAUGCAUUUGAGGUAGCUUGGGUUUAUUUUUCUUUCAAUAAAAUAAAUGGUUUUGUAAUUAAA